rfam:Felis catus isolate Cinnamon breed Abyssinian chromosome D2, whole genome shotgun sequence.
GCCUGGGUGGCUCAGUCAGUUAAGCAUCUGACUUCCACUCAGGUCAUGAUCUCAUAGCUCGUGGGUUCGAGCCCCGCAUUGGGUU